GGUUGUGGCUCAGUGGUAGAGCGCUCGCCUUGCACUUGAGAGACCCUGGGUUCGAUCCUCAGCACCA
rnacentral:tRNA from 1 species